rnacentral:misc_RNA from 1 species
GCCAAGUAUUUUUCAUUAUUAGGACAGACACGAUUAAGAAGAGACUUAAAUCUAUGUAAUCACCACAGUAGUUAGUUUCAGUUUUUCAGCUCAACACAUGAUUUGCCAUUAAUCCACUUGUUGAAGAGUAUUCCCCAUCAAGAAACAAAGUGUUGUAAAAAGAUCAAAUUAUCAUAAGUUGGAAGAAAAGUGCAUGUGUCAUUAG